CCUUUCGUUCUCCUUCGGUGGGGCAACCUGCCGCUGGAACUUAUCAAAAACCUUUUUUUGCAUCUAGCAUUACCUGUUCUGAUACAAACAAUCGUUACAACUUUCAACAAUGGAUCUCUUGGCUCUGGCAUCGAUGAAGAACGCAGCGAAAUGCGAUAAGUAGUGUGAAUUGCAGAAUUCAGUGAAUCAUCGAAUCUUUGAACGCACAUUGCGCCCCUCGGUAUUCCGUGGGGCAUGCCUGUUCGAGCGUCAUCUACACCCUCAAGCUCUGCUUGGUGUUGGGCGUCUGUCCCGCCUCUGCGCGCGGACUCGCCCCAAAUUCAUUGGCAGCGGUCCUUGCCCCCUCUCGCGCAGCACAUUGCGCUUCUCGAGGGGCGCGGCCCGCGUCCACGAAGCAAACAUUACCGUCUUUGACCUCGGAUCAGGUAGGGAUACCCGCUGAACUUAAGCAUAUCAAUAGGCCGGAGGAAG
rnacentral:rRNA from 1 species